GCCGCCAACAGAGGGCGCGCGAUCCCGCCUCAACCAACUUCCCGCUGAGGUGCCAGAAGCAGCGAGGAGCUUCAACUUCCUCAGGGCAGCACGAGGGACGUGUUAACUUGGUGUUCUUCAUUGAGAAAUGGAAUCAUCGUAUUGCUGAUCUACGUAAACAAAUUGAAGAAUUGUCUGAAAGAAAAUAUGACAUGAACUUAUGAAUUCAACAGGUGAAGAUUUACAACUUGAUAAAUCAGCUUUGUGAGCUCGAGCUGUAAAAGCCAAAGGUCUGGUGAUGAUCCCAUACCCUUUUUUCCAGUCUCAUGUUGAAGAUUUUUAUGUAGAAGGCCUUCCCAAAGGAAUUUUUAUUUUUGAGAUGGAGUUUUCACUCUUAUCACCCAGGCUGGGGUGCAAUGGCGCAACCUUGCCGGUCACUGCAACCUCUGCCUCCUGGGUUCAAGAAAUUCUCCUGCCUUAGCCUCCCAAGUCGCUGGGAUUACACGUGCCCACCACCACACUAGGCUAAUUUUUGUAUUUUUAGUGGAGAUGGGGUUUCACCAUGUUGGCCGGGCCAGUCUCGAACUCCUGACGUCAAGUGAUCUUCCCGCCUCGACUCCUGACAUCAAGUGAUCUUCCCGCCUUGGCCUUCCAGAGUGCUGAGAUUACAGACGUGAACCCAUGCCUGGCCAGGAAUUUUGUUUUUUAGGAAGGCUUUCUACUAAUGGAAUUCCUGGCCUUGAGAGGAUGUUACUUUCGAAGGAAAGGAUUUUUUUUGUUAUUAAAAGAAACAGGACCUUGCCCUGUCACUCAGGAUGGAGUUCAGUGGUCCUAUCAUGGCUCAUUAUAGCCUCAAACUCCCAGGCUCAAGCAAUCCUACCAUGUCAGCCUUCCCGUAGCUGGGACUACAGGUAAGCAUCGUGACACUCAGUGAAUUUUGUUUUUAUUUUGUUGUAGAGAUGGGACCUCAGUAUGUUGCCACAGCUGACCUUGAACUCCUGCACUCAAGGGAUUUUCCUGCCCUGGCCUCCCAAAGUACUGGUAUUACAGGCAUGAGCCAUUGUGCCCACCGUCUCUGGUUCUUAACCUUCUGCCUCCCUCUUCCAGUUUUAAAGAAUGCUUGUAAUUACAUGGGCUCUCCUAGAUACUCCAGGAUAAUCUUGUUUUAAGGUCUCACACUGUCACCCAGGCUGGAGUACAGUGGCACAACCUCUGCUUACUGCAGCCUCCACCUGCCAGGCUCAAGCAAUUCUCCUGCCUCAGCCUCCCGAGUAGCUGGGAUUACAGGUAAGUGCCACCACACCCAGCUGAUUUUUGUGUUUUUUUGUAGAGACGAGGUUUCGCCGUGUUUCCCAGACUGUUCUCAAACUCCUGAGCUCAAAGCAGUCCACCCACCUUGGCCUCCCAGAGUGCUGGGAUUACAGUUGAAGCAUAUGUCCUGCGAGCUUAGGGGUGCUACAAGUUGACCACUGCAGCAGUAAAGUUGACUCUGAAGAAUGGCGUGGGAUGGAUCCUUUCAAAUGCACUUGAGCAGCGGUCUCCAACCACAGGGCCACAGAGCUGGAGCUGGAUCUACCAUGAAGGACUUCUGAAUCCAGGAAGAGAGACUGACUGGGCAACAUGUUAUUCAGGAGAUGGGGUCUCACCCUGUCACCCAGGCUUGAGUACAGUAGUGCUAUCACAGCUCACUGCAGCCUUGAACUCCUGGGCUAAGGGUACUCCUACCUGAGCCUCCUGAGUAGCUAGGACUGUAGGUAUACAUGACGAUACUUGGCUAAUUUUUAAAUUGUUUUGUAGACAUGGGGUCUCACUUUGUUGGCCAGGCUGGUGUCAAACUAAUGGCCUCAAGUGACCCUUCCACCCCUGCCUCCCAUCCUCGAGGUGGGACCAUCCAGUUUCAGGAAAACAAGCUUAACACGCCCACUGAUUCUACAUUAUGCUCCUAGCUCCCAGCAGCCUCGCCAGGCCCAGAACUCUCUCCAGUCAGCCUCUACAGAUGAAGCUCAUGACUCACAAUGGCCUAUUUAGGCCCAUACCCUACCUCACGGCAGUCUCCGCAGAUGAGCCUACUGCCUCACAACAGCCUCCACAGGCACAGCUCCAUCGUUACAAUGGCCUCUU